rnacentral:rRNA from 1 species
UACGUAGGGCGCAAGCGUUGUCCGGAAUUAUUGGGCGUAAAGAGCUCGUAGGCGGUUUGUCGCGUCUGCUGUGAAAACCUAAGGCUCAACCUUGGGCUUGCAGUGGGUACGGGCAGACUAGAGUGCGGUAGGGGUGACUGGAAUUCCUGGUGUAGCGGUGGAAUGCGCAGAUAUCAGGAGGAACACCGAUGGCGAAGGCAGGUCACUGGGCCGCAACUGACGCUGGAGGAGCGGAAAAUGCAUGGGGAGCGAACAGG